rnacentral:rRNA from 1 species
AUUGAACGCUGGCGGCAUGCUUUACACAUGCAAGUCGAACGGUAACAGGUUAAGCUGACGAGUGGCGAACGGGUGAGUAAUGCAUCGGAACGUGCCCGGUAGUGGGGGAUAACACUUCGAAAGAAGUGCUAAUACCGCAUACGAUCUAAGGAUGAAAGCGGGGGACCGUAAGGCCUCGCGCGAUCGGAGCGGCCGAUGUCAGAUUAGGUAGUUGUUGGGGUAAGGGCAUACCAGGCCGACGAUCUGUAGCUGGUCUGAGAGGACGACCAGCCACACGGGGACUGAGACACGGCCCAGACUCCUACGGGAGGCAGCAGUGGGGAAUUUUGGACAAUGGGCGCAAGCCUGAUCCAGCAAUGCCGCGUGCAGGAAGAAGGCCUUCGGGUUGUAAACUGCUUUUGUACGGAGCGAAAAGGCUCUCUCUAAUACAGGGGGCUGAUGACGGUACCGUAAGAAUAAGCACCGGCUAACUACGUGCCAGCCGCCGCGGUAA